GGUCGCUUCUCGCAGGCGGCGCGCUUGCUGGGUCACAGUGAGGCGGCUCCGCGCAGGCGCAGCCGGGCGGGCGAGGAGCGGGGAAGCUGACUCAGGGCUGCGGCCGGGGUCCUGCGGGGUAGGAGCGCGAGGCCGGCCUGAGGGAGGAGGCCUAGCGACCCAUCCGGCGCCUCCCGCCCCGGGCACCCGCCCGCGGCCGCGCAUCCUGCGGGCCCCAGGAGGCCUCCAUCUCAAAACAACGUGUUUUUAGAGAACUCAAGGGCUGUGAAAAGAGCAGGACCUCACCAGCUGCACGGCGGUGGUGACUGGCUCCAUCUUGCUGUCCCUCCCAAUCACACAACAUCUCCCCUUGAAGGCUCUGCCCAGGCCCGGACUCCCACCUUUCAAGAUGUCUGGAUCAGUGCAGGACCUCCUCCUUGGCCACAUCGCUCUCCUUGGACUGGCUGGAGUGCAAUGACUCGGUCUCGGCUCAUUGCAACCUCCGCCUUGCAGGUUCAAGUGAUUCUCCCACCUCAGCCUCCCAAGUAGGAUUACAGGUACACACCACCACGCACAGCUAAUUGUUUUGUAUUUUAGGAAGAGAUGGGGUUUCAUCAUGUUAGCCAGGCUGGUCAGGUGAUCCAUCCGCCUUGGCCUCCCCAAGUGCUGGGAUUACAGGCGUGAGGCACUGUGCCCGGCCUGCCCCCCUUUUCUCUUGAUGUAAGUGGACAUUUUAAUCCAUAAUCUGUAACAUUUAUGUAUUAAGUUUACUACUAUCUUUGGUUUGCAGUGUUGACUCACCUGUGGAGUGGUCUGAGCCUGAAUGCCCGGGGCUGUGGCCACCGAGUGAACGGGCUGUGCUAAGGGGAAUUGCCACCUUGGGAAACCUGUGUAGUUGCGGCUUUUCUGAUUAAGUAUCAAUAAAAGUCUGACCUUGUGAAAAAAGCAAACGUGAGUGGCCCUGCUUAUGUUUCACCUUGCGUUGCUCAGUGAUAGUUCUGCAAAGUCGCAGGAAACCUGGAAUCAUCUAAUUAUCGUGAGUGUUGGCACAUGACAGCCUUCUUGCAAUCAAGAAACUACGUGUGGCCAGGAUCUCAUCCACUAUCACAGUUUCAGCUUUCCCCAAACUGGAAUGUGUCUUUGCAGACGCCCAUCCUUAUUAAAGGGCAAAGACUUCUCAUACACCUAGGAUGGAUCUUAUAUUCUUGGCGGGACUGCAGAGAAGGUGCCGUGUCCUGAGUCCUCAUGUCAGGGCACAGGCUUCCAGCCAGUUCUACCUGGGUUAUGUUUAUCUCAAUUCCCUGGUGGUAUUGGUGUCUGCUGGGUUUUGCCAGAAUGAAGACACCGUGUUUUCAUUUGUCAGUUGAUUCGUAUUUUCCAGGAAGACAUUCUGAGAUUACAGCAUUGUCUUAGUCAAGGUGCUGCAGAAGGACAGAACUAAUAGGAUAUAUGUACAUAUGAAAGAAAGUUUAUGAAGAACUGGCUCACACCAUCACAAGGCAAAGUCCCAUGACAGGCCAUCUGCAAGCUGAGGAGCGAGGAAGCCAGCAGUGGCUCAGCCGGAGUCCAACAGCCUCAAACGGAAUCCAACAGUUCAGGCUUCAGUCUGUGGCCAAAUGCCCAGAGACCCCGGAAAGCUACUGGUGUUAGUCCCAGAGCCGGAAGGCCAAAGAACCUGGAGUGUGAUGUCCAAGGGCAGGAGGAAUGGACAGAAGCAUCCAGCAUGGGGUAAAGACGAAAGCCAGAAGACUCAGCAAGCUAGCUUACCUACUUUCUUCUGCCUGCCUUGUUCUAGCCGCGCUGGCAGCCGGUUGGAGGGUGCCCACCCCCACUGAGGGUGGAUCUUCCUCUCCUAGUCCACUGACUCAAAUUUCAGUCUCUCUGGGAGCACCAUCACACCAGAAACAAUACCAGCCAUCUAGCCACCCUUCAGUUCACCAUCACAACCAUUGUCUUAUUCAUGAAACUUCUGCAGACCCACCUUAACCUCCAUCGGUGACUUCUACCUGAAGCCCUCUGAUUGUUGCCCAGUGGUGCUUUUUAAAAUAAUUUCCAUAGUUUCUUCUACACCUUUAGUUGGCAUUCUACUGUAAAGGAGAGAUUUUAUUUUCUUACUCAUUUAUUUGUUAGUUUAUAGUCACCACCAUAUGGAUGCAGAGUUCUGUCUCAUUCACUGGGAAGUAUUCUAUUGCAGUCAUGAUUUAUUUUGAUGUUCACAUCCCAGAGUUGGUGAGUGAGCGCCCCUUCACGCUGGCUCCCGAGUGCUGACGUGUCCCCGUCCUUCUCUGCACUUUUCCUUACCUCCUGGCCUCAGAUAUUCCAGGGUCAUUUGUUCUCUCCCUGCUCCAACCCUGCAGUCAGCCAUCUCCCUAGGGACGUUGGUUCCUUUAUGGAAGGUGGCAUUUAGAAGCCAGGAUUUGGGCUGAGCACUGUGGCUCAUGCUUGUAAUCCCAGCACUUGGGGAGGCCGAAGUGGGCGGAUCGCUGGAGGCCAAGAGUCUGAGACCAGCCUGGCUAACAUGGUGAAACCCUUCCCCGUCUCUACUACAAAUAAAAAAUUAGCUGGGUGUGUUGGCACGUGCCUGUAAUCCCAGUUACUCAGGAGGCUGAAGCACCAGAAUCUCUUGAACCCAGGAGGCCGAGGUUGCAGUGAGCCAAGAUUGCACCACUGCACUACAGCUUGGGUGACAGCGCGAGACACCGUCUCAAAAAGGAUAAUAAUUUAAAAAACAGCAGGAUUUGGGUGAGCAGUGCGCUCAUUGCUUCUGGGCUCUCUCGGUGGACAUAGGCUAGGAAUGUAAGAUGUAUGUGCCUGUGUAUAUACACACGUCUGUAGCUAUGUCUAUGUUGCAUACAUGUGUUUUUCCAAAAACCAAAUCCAUAACCAUGCCUUCAGUUUCAGCCCAACACCUCCGGGCUCUUUCUAGCUUUCUACCUUUCAUGAUUGUGAAUACCUUCUCCAGCAGUGAGAAACCUGGCUCCUUUGUCCUCAGUGGAUUUUCUUAUUUGCUCAAUUUUUUUGUUUUUUGUUUUGUUUUUGUUUUUGAGACAGAGUCUUGUUCUGUCACCCAAGCUGGAGUGCAGUGGCAUAAUCUCGGCUUACCGCAACCUCUGCCUCCUGG
rnacentral:lncRNA from 10 species